ACGAACGCUGGCGGCGUGCUUAACACAUGCAAGUCGAACGGAAAGGCCCUGCUUGCAGGGUGCUCGAGUGGCGAACGGGUGAGUAACACGUGGGUGAUCUGCCCCUUACUUUGGGAUAAGCCUGGGAAACUGGGUCUAAUACUGGAUAGGACCAUGCUGUAGGUGGUGUGGUGGAAAGAUUAGUUUCGGUAAGGGAUGAGCUCGCGGCCUAUCAGCUUGUUGGUGGGGUAAUGGCCUACCAAGGCGUCGACGGGUAGCCGGCCUGAGAGGGUGGACGGCCACAUUGGGACUGAGAUACGGCCCAGACUCCUACGGGAGGCAGCAGUGGGGAAUAUUGCACAAUGGGCGCAAGCCUGAUGCAGCGACGCCGCGUGGGGGAUGACGGUCUCCGGGUUGUAAACUCCUUUCAGCCAUGACGAAGCCCUUGUGGUGACGGUAGUGGUAGAAGAAGCACCGGCUAACUACGUG
rnacentral:rRNA from 1 species